GGAAUUUUUACCAAUAUUUGGUUCAAACUUUUGCAUUAAAUGUAAGAAAGUAUGUCAAAAAUGCAUGUUCUCUUAUUUUUAAUAUUUUUUAUUUGUAUUAAUUUUCGAUUUCAUGUAUUUUUUUUUUGUCCCGAUUUGCCCCGACUUUUAAGACCUGUUGUCCCGACAUUAAUAAAAUUUUAUCUGGCAGCCCUAAAUUUAAUCUACCUCAGCUUAACUUUGGGAUAAUUUAUUGGCAAAGUUGUUGUUCACUUUGCAAUCACUCGUAAGUCCACAUCAUCACGGUGUUGGUACAUCAUCCGAUGAGCAAUUGAUAUUUCAUUCUAAUUAUCCAUGUUCUUUGAAAUCACACAUAUAGAUAUGUACGUACUUGUUAUUGUAGAACUACCCUAUUUGCAAACUGUCGUAUCAGGAUUUAUGUUCCUCUGUAGGUACUUCUCUCAACGAAUAAUGAGCACAGGUAACAGAACACAGUUGCAAAAUCGAUACAAAAAUAUUACCUUGUUUGAAUUAAACUUGCGUUUCAUCUACAAAGAAUCGCACUCAUCGAAAUUAAUCUUUAUUUUUCCAACCUUUAAAGUUUAAAUUGCGAAAUUAUUAUCCUUGACAAAUAAAUAUAUUUCAAAUGAAAUUGUCUAUUCUAUCGUUAACUGAGCAUGAUAAAGGAUACAAACGUGCUUUGAAUUCAAUCCUUGUUACAAAAUAUGGGUGCCGAAGAGGUGUAGGUAUUCAUUGUUACAGAAUUAUUCAUCAAGUACAAGGAGAGCUGUUUCAUAUUUGAAUUCUGAACAAAAAAAGUGCAGGAAAGAAAAAAAUUCAUCAGUGUAAAAUAUUCAAUUACUACCUUGAAUCAUGACAGCAGUUUUCUUCUUUUGGAAUGCAAAUUGCACUUCCGCCUUUCUUAAUUAAGAAGAUGGUCAGCAAUUCGGGAGUAGUUCAACGUUCCAAGUGAUUCCUAAUUUUCUCUUCAAUAUUCAAGGGAAGCAUUUAAAACUCAGAAAAUAUAAGAAGUUGUGAAAAAGGAAUUAGAUUUGGAGUUUAUUUGGUUUGUGUAUGUACCUUGUUAAAUUUUU